AUCUUGUUCUUCAUGUUAGCUAGGACUUUUUACAGAUUAGCUUGAUUUUAGCUUUACUGGGGUAUUAAUUUUAUACUCUUUACGCCGGUUUUUAUUUACUAGGGUCAUUCGUAUGACCGCAGUGGCUGGCAUGAAGUUUACCAACCCUAUAUCAGUAUAACUU